rnacentral:rRNA from 1 species
ACACGCAUGACACACUGCAUAUCAAUAAGCGGAGGAAAAGAAACUAACAAGGAUUCCCUAGUAACGGCGAGUGAAGCGGGAAGAGCUCAAAUUUGAAAUCUUAAAGGUUUUACCUUGACGAAUUGUAGUUUAUAGAAGUGUUUUCUGUUAGGAGUUUCGGUAAAAGUUCUUUGGAAUAGGACAUCAUAGAGGGUGAGAAUCCCUGUAUUUGACCAUUACUUUCCAACUGUGUGAUACACUUUCAAAGAGUCGGAUUGUUUGGGAAUGCAGUCCAAAAUGGGUGGUAAAUUUCAUCUAAAGCUAAAUAUUGGCGAGAGACCGAUAGCGAACAAGUACCGUGAGGGAAAGAUGAAAAGAACUUUGAAAAGAGAGUUAAACAGUACGUGAAAUUGUCAAAAGGGAAGCGUUUGACACCAGUGUUGUUUAGUUCGAAAAUCAAUUCAAUAAUUGUAGGAUUUUAGUAGUAUUGACUUCAUCAGCUUGCUGCUUUCUUUUCAGGAAUUAUUGAAUGCACUUUUCAGUUAACAAGUCAACAUCAAUUUCUUUUGUUGUAAAAGGGUAAGAGGAAGGUGGCUUACGUCUCGGCGUAAGUGUUUAUAGCCUUUUACCUCUGCAAUCGGAGAGAUUGAGGGCAGCAGCGUAGACUCCUUCUGGGGUUAGAUACACUUGUGCUAAGCUAUAGCCUUGUAUAGACAACUUGUUGACUAUGCUCAGUCAUGUAGCUUACUCGCUUGUGCUAUUUUACCUACGCUUAGGAUGUUGACGCAUGAGAUAUACGC